rnacentral:rRNA from 1 species
UACGAAGGGGACUAGCGUUGUUCGGAAUCACUGGGCGUAAAGCGCACGUAGGCGGAUUUGUAAGUCAGGGGUGAAAGCCCAGGGCUCAACCCUGGAAUUGCCUUUGAUACUGAUUGUCUUGAGUAUGGGAGAGGUGUGUGGAACUCCGAGUGUAGAGGUGAAAUUCGUAGAUAUUCGGAAGAACACCAGUGGCGAAGGCGACACACUGGCCCAUUACUGACGCUGAGGCUCGAAAGCGUGGGGAGCAAACAGG